AGUUGUUUAGCUUAUAACUAAAGCAUAUAUUUUGAAAAUAUAAGAAAGAUAAUAUUUAACAACUU
rnacentral:tRNA from 1 species